rfam:Elusimicrobium minutum Pei191, complete genome.
GCGCCUGUAGCUCAGUUGGUUAGAGCAAUCCGCUCAUAACGGAUGGGUCGCAGGUUCAAGUCCUGCCGGGCGCA